rnacentral:rRNA from 1 species
UACAGAGGGUGCGAGCGUUAAUCGGAAUUACUGGGCGUAAAGCGUGCGUAGACGGUUAUGUAAGUCAGGUGUGAAAGCCCCCGGGCUCAACCUGGGAAUUGCAUUUGAGACUGCAUAGCUAGGGUGCGGAAGAGGGAAGCGGAAUUUCCGGUGUAGCGGUGAAAUGCGUAGAUAUCGGAAGGAACACCAGUGGCGAAAGCGGCUUCCUGGUCCAGCACCGACGUUCAGGCACGAAAGCCGUGGGGAGCAAACAGG